UACGAAGGGGGCUAGCGUUGCUCGGAAUCACUGGGCGUAAAGGGCGCGUAGGCGGCCAUUCAAGUCAGAGGUGAAAAGCCCAAGGCUCAACCUUGGAACUGCCUUUGAUACUGUUUGGCUUGAGACCGGUAGAGGUAAGUGGAACUGCGAGUGUAGAGGUGAAAUUCGUAGAUAUUCGCAAGAACACCAGUGGCGAAGGCGGCUUACUGGACCGGUUCUGACGCUGAGGCGCGAAAGCGUGGGGAGCAAACAGG
rnacentral:rRNA from 1 species